rnacentral:rRNA from 1 species
ACGCUGGCGGCGUGCUUAACACAUGCAAGUCGAACGAUGAAGCCUAGCUCGCUAGGUGGAUUAGUGGCGAACGGGUGAGUAAUACGUGAGUAACCUACCUUUAACUCUGGGAUAAGCCUGGGAAACUGGGUCUAAUACCGGAUACGACCAAUCUCCGCAUGGGGUGUUGGUGGAAAGCGUUAUGUAGUGGUUAUAGAUGGGCUCACGGCCUAUCAGCUUGUUGGUGAGGUAACGGCUCACCAAGGCGACGACGGGUAGCCGGCCUGAGAGGGUGACCGGCCACACUGGGACUGAGACACGGCCCAGACUCCUACGGGAGGCAGCAGUGGGGAAUAUUGCACAAUGGGCGCAAGCCUGAUGCUGCGACGCCGCGUGAGGGAUGACGGCCUUCGGGUUGUAAACCUCUGUUAGCAGGGAAGAAGAGAAAUUGACGGUACCUGCAGAGAAAGCGCCGGCUAACUACGUGCCAGCAGCCGCGGUAAUACGUAGGGCGCGAGCGUUGUCCGGAAUUAUUGGGCGUAAAGAGCUUGUAGGCGGUUUGUCGCGUCUGCUGUGAAAGGCCGGGGCUUAACCCCGUGUAUUGCAGUGGGUACGGGCAGACUAGAGUGCAGUAGGGGAGACUGGAAUUCCUGGUGUAGCGGUGGAAUGCGCAGAUAUCAGGAGGAACACCGAUGGCGAAGGCAGGUCUCUGGGCUGUAACUGACGCUGAGAAGCGAAAGCAUGGGGAGCGAACAGGAUUAGAUACCCUGGUAGUCCAUGCCGUAAACGUUGGGCACUAGGUGUGGGGGACAUUCCACGUUUUCCGCGCCGUAGCUAACGCAUUAAGUGCCCCGCCUGGGGAGUACGGCCGCAAGGCUAAAACUCAAAGAAAUUGACGGGGGCCCGCACAAGCGGCGGAGCAUGCGGAUUAA